rnacentral:rRNA from 1 species
AUACGUAGGGUGCGAGCGUUGUCCGGAAUUACUGGGCGUAAAGAGCUCGUAGGUGGUUUGUCGCGUCGUCUGUGAAAUUCCGGGGCUUAACUCCGGGCGUGCAGGCGAUACGGGCAUAACUUGAGUACUGUAGGGGAGACUGGAAUUCCUGGUGUAGCGGUGAAAUGCGCAGAUAUCAGGAGGAACACCGGUGGCGAAGGGGGGUCUCUGGGCAGUAACUGACGCUGAGGGGCGAAAGCAUGGGUAGCGAAAAGGAUUAGAUCCCCUGGUAUUCCAGGCCGUAAACGGUGGGCGCUAGGUGUAGGGGUCUUCCACGACUUCUGUGCCGUAGCUAACGCAUUAAGCGCACCGCCUGGGGAGUACGGCCGCAAGGCUAAAACUCAAAGGAAUUGACGGG